AUUGAACGCUAGCGGGAUGCCUUACAACUGCAAGUCGAACGGAGUGGCGAACGGGUGAGUAAUGUAUCGGAACGUGCCCAGUAGCGGGGGAUAACUACGCGCAAGCGUAGCUAAUACCGCAUACUAUUGGAGCGGCCGAUAUCGGAUUAGCUAGUAGGUGGGGUAAGGGCUCACCACGGCGCCGAUCCGUAGCUGGUUUGAGAGGACGACCAGCCACACUGGGACGUAGACACGGCCUAGACUCCCACGUGAGGCAGCAGUGGGUAAUUUUGGACAAUGGGGGAAACCCUGAUCCAGCCAUCCCGCGUGUUCGAUGAAGGCCUUCGGGUUGUAAAGCACUUUUGGCAGGAAAGCGGUACCUGCAGAAUAAGCACCGGCUAACUACGUGCCAGCCGCCGCGGUAAUUC
rnacentral:rRNA from 1 species